GACGAACGCUGGCGGCGUGCCUAAUACAUGCAAGUCGAGCGGACUGAUGGGAGCUUGCUCCCUGAUGUUAGCGGCGGACGGGUGAGUAACACGUGGGCAACCUACCUGUAAGACUGGGAUAACUCCGGGAAACCGGGGCUAAUACCGGAUAACCCGUUCCUCCUCAUGGAGGGACGGUAAAAGAUGGCUUCUUGCUAUCACUUACAGAUGGGCCCGCGGCGCAUUAGCUAGUUGGUAAGGUAAUGGCUUACCAAGGCGACGAUGCGUAGCCGACCUGAGAGGGUGAUCGGCCACACUGGGACUGAGACACGGCCCAGACUCCUACGGGAGGCAGCAGUAGGGAAUCUUCCGCAAUGGACGAAAGUCUGACGGAGCAACGCCGCGUGAGUGAUGAAGGUUUUCGGAUCGUAAAGCUCUGUUGUUAGGGAAGAACAAGUGCCGUUCGAAUAGGGCGGCACCUUGACGGUACCUAACCAGAAAGCCACGGCUAACUACGUGCCAGCAGCCGCGGUAAUACGUAGGUGGCAAGCGUUGUCCGGAAUUAUUGGGCGUAAAGCGCGCGCAGGCGGUCUUUUAAGUCUGAUGUGAAAGCCCACGGCUCAACCGUGGAGGGUCAUUGGAAACUGGGAGACUUGAGUACAGAAGAGGAGAGUGGAAUUCCACGUGUAGCGGUGAAAUGCGUAGAUAUGUGGAGGAACACCAGUGGCGAAGGCGACUCUCUGGUCU
rnacentral:rRNA from 1 species